CACUGGACUAGAAGGAGUUGUUAUUAGGAUCCUCCUCAGAUAGGCCUGACCCUUUCCCAGGGACCCUCUCUCCAUACCCCUGUACACAGUAGGCACUCAGUCCAUGCUUGUUGAGUUGGACUCCCUUCUUCCAGGGCUGCUGAGAGAGCCAGGCCACCAGGGCCAGGAUGGGAGGGUCCAAGCCCUGCUGAAUCCCUGGCUGGACAGCCAUGUCUGAAAGAGUUAUUUUGCUGCCCUUAGAUGCUGAAACCACUGCAGCAGCCUGGCCUAAUGUGGCUGCAGUCUCCAUUACUGGGCGGAAGCGGAGCCGGGUAGCCCCUGCCCAGCCCCAGGAGGCCCCUGAUUCCACUGCUGCAGGAGGCUCAGCCUCGAAGCGGAUGGCGCUGGUGCUGGAACGGGUGUGCAGCACCCUCCUGGGCCUGGAGGAACACCUAAAUGCCCUGGACCGGGCUGCUGGCGAUGGCGACUGUGGCACCACCCACAGCCGUGCGGCCAGAGCGAUCCGGGAGUGGCUGAAGGAGGGCCCACCCCCUGCCAGCCCUGCCCAGCUGCUCU
rnacentral:sRNA from 1 species